rnacentral:rRNA from 1 species
GAGAGUUUGAUCCUGGCUCAGAUUGAACGCUGGCGGCAGGCCUAACACAUGCAAGUCGAGCGGAUGAAGGGAGCUUGCUCCUGGAUUCAGCGGCGGACGGGUGAGUAAUGCCUAGGAAUCUGCCUGGUAGUGGGGGAUAACGUCCGGAAACGGGCGCUAAUACCGCAUACGUCCUGAGGGAGAAAGUGGGGGAUCUUCGGACCUCACGCUAUCAGAUGAGCCUAGGUCGGAUUAGCUAGUUGGUUGGGUAAAGGCCUACCAAGGCGACGAUCCGUAACUGGUCUGAGAGGAUGAUCAGUCACACUGGAACUGAGACACGGUCCAGACUCCUACGGGAGGCAGCAGUGGGGAAUAUUGGACAAUGGGCGAAAGCCUGAUCCAGCCAUGCCGCGUGUGUGAAGAAGGUCUUCGGAUUGUAAAGCACUUUAAGUUGGGAGGAAGGGCAGUAAGUUAAUACCUUGCUGUUUUGACGUUACCAACAGAAUAAGCACCGGCUAACUUCGUGCCAGCAGCCGCGGUAAUACGAAGGGUGCAAGCGUUAAUCGGAAUUACUGGGCGUAAAGCGCGCGUAGGUGGUUCAGCAAGUUGGAUGUGAAAUCCCCGGGCUCAACCUGGGAACUGCAUCCAAAACUACUGAGCUAGAGUACGGUAGAGGGUGGUGGAAUUUCCUGUGUAGCGGUGAAAUGCGUAGAUAUAGGAAGGAACACCAGUGGCGAAGGCGACCACCUGGACUGAUACUGACACUGAGGUGCGAAAGCGUGGGGAGCAAACAGGAUUAGAUACCCUGGUAGUCCACGCCGUAAACGAUGUCGACUAGCCGUUGGGAUCCUUGAGAUCUUAGUGGCGCAGCUAACGCGAUAAGUCGACCGCCUGGGGAGUACGGCCGCAAGG